rnacentral:rRNA from 1 species
CCUACGGGGGGCAGCAGUGGGGAAUAUUGCACAAUGGAGGAAACCCUGAUGCAGCGACGCCGCGUGAGCGAUGAAGUAUUUCGGUAUGUAAAGCUCUAUCAGCAGGGAAGAAAAUGACGGUACCUGACUAAGAAGCCCCGGCUAACUACGUGCCAGCAGCCGCGGUAAUACGUAGGGGGCAAGCGUUAUCCGGAUUUACUGGGUGUAAAGGGAGCGUAGGCGGUGCUGCAAGCCAGAUGUGAAAGCCCGGGGCUCAACCCCGGGACUGCAUUUGGAACUGUAAGGCUAGAGUGUCGGAGAGGCAGGCGGAAUUCCGAGUGUAGCGGUGAAAUGCGUAGAUAUUAGGAGGAACACCAGUGGCGAAGGCGGCUUGCUGGACGAUGACUGACGUUGAGGCUCGAAAGCGUGGGGAGCAAACAGGAUUAGAUACCCGUGUAGUC